rnacentral:lncRNA from 1 species
AUUGACUGAAAUUUCCUUCAUCAUGUUUCACAAGAUCAUACCGAGGGAAUGAGUUUACAACUUUUUCAGCAGUGAAAAGAGCACAACCACCAGAAACUAAGGCAGAUUCAGCUGAGUCCGUGACAGCCAUAACACCGAGGAUCACAAGGCGACUGAUACCAUGCUAGAAGGUAUGCAUAAGCAGUACUUAGUGUAGCUAGACAUCUAUUCUGAUAUUUGAGAGAGAAAGGGAAGAAACAAUUCUAUUUCUGUAUCUUGAAUGAAUACCUGACUUAGUUCAUUUGUACAUAUAGUAUAUAUAGAAAACUCGGAUAGCUGCUUUUAAACCAACUCUUCAAAAAAUGCUAGUUGUAUUAACAGCUUCUUGCUGCUCUUAAACCACCUCUUCAACAAAUGCUAGCUAUUUUAACAACUUCUUUCUAACUACCUAACUGCUUCAGCUAAAUCCUAUGUGAACUCGAACAGUCCAAAACCGGUCAUUUUGUUUUUUGGUGGGGAGAAUUUUUUGUUUUUUCUUCUUUUUAGGGCACCGCUCUGAGACUUUUCAACACUCUUUUGCUCAAGCCAAUUUUGACUUACCAUGUUAACUGGUGUGUAUCCUUGUUUAUCUUCAAUUACUUUCUUUUUCUAGCUUCGAUUUAAGUUUAACUUCCUUCUGGUUUUCUUUAUUAUUUUUAUAACCUAGUGAGAUCUGAAAGGGGGGAAUGGUUGCUUUCUACUGCCCAUGCAGAUAAAGCCUCAUGGUGUUUCUAGCUUAGUAAGAAAUGCAUUAAGAAAAAGAUUUUAUUUAUUUUUAUUGAUUUUGGGUGUAAUUUGAUUUGGGUUUUUAGGAAAAAAAAUUGCUUCUUUACAUAUGCAUAUUUUUUUCAAGUUCUUAGGGGGUGGUUUAGGGGGUGAAACUUGAACUAGGAAUGGGAGGUGGAGCUUUUAAGGAUGAGGACAAGGCAAUGGUUACCUCUGUUUUAGGAACAAAAGUAUUGGACAAAGGAUCAAGCUCGGUUUCAGAUGAGAACCUUCUAACGACUAUAUGUAGCGAUGAAAAUCUUCAAAACAAGCUCUCAGGUCUUGUGGAUCGACCCAACGCUUCUAAUUUUAGCUGGAAUUAUGCCAUUUUUUGGUAAAUUUCGCGGGCCAAGUUUAGUGACUAGGUCCUGAAUUGGGGUGAUGGGUGUUGUCGAGAGCCUAAACAAGAAGAAGAAUUAGAAGAUACAAAGAUUCUUACUUUAUAGCUGGAAGAAGAAACCUAGCAAAAGAUGAAGAAAAAUGUUUUGCAGAAACUGCAUACCUUGUUUGGUGGAUCAGAUGAGGAUAAUUAUGCUCUUGGUUUGGAUAGAGUUAAUGAUACUGAGAUGUUCUUUUUAGCUUCCAUGUAUUUUUUGUUUCCACCAGGAGAAGGCGGUCCAGGGAAGUGUUUUUCCUCUGGAUACAUUUUUGGAUUUUGG